UGGGAGGCUUUGAAGCGUGGACGCCAGUCUGCAUGGAGCCGACCUUGAAAUACCACCCUUUAAUGUUUGAUGUUCUAACGUGGACCCGUAAUCCGGGUUGCGGACAGUGUCUGGUGGGUAGUUUGACUGGGGCGGUCUCCUCCUAAAGAGUAACGGAGGAGCACGAAGGUUGGCUAAUCCUGGUCGGACAUCAGGAGGUUAGUGCAAUGGCAUAAGCCAGCUUGACUGCGAGCGUGACGGCGCGAGCAGGUGCGAAAGCAGGUCAUAGUGAUCCGGUGGUUCUGAAUGGAAGGGCCAUCGCUCAACGGAUAAAAGGUACUCCGGGGAUAACAGGCUGAUACCGCCCAAGAGUUCAUAUCGACGGCGGUGUUUGGCACCUCGAUGUCGGCUCAUCACAUCCUGGGGCUGAAGUAGGUCCCAAGGGUAUGGCUGUUCGCCAUUUAAAGUGGUACGCGAGCUGGGUUUAGAACGUCGUGAGACAGUUCGGUCCCUAUCUGCCGUGGGCGCUGGAGAACUGAGGGGGGCUGCUCCUAGUACGAGAGGACCGGAGUGGACGCAUCACUGGUGUUCGGGUUGUCAUGCCAAUGGCACUGCCCGGUAGCUAAAUGCGGAAGAGAUAAGUGCUGAAAGCAUCUAAGCACGAAACUUGCCCCGA
rnacentral:rRNA from 1 species